rnacentral:lncRNA from 1 species
GGGAGUUUUUAGGGUUUCUUGUCUACUUUGGAGAUACCUUUAUCUAUAAAUAGAGGAGUCUCCCCCCUUGUAAAAUCACUUGAUGAAUUAGAAUGUUAUUAUGCCAAAAUAUGUGCAAACAUAUCUUGUUUCAAGUCAAGGCUAGAGCAUCCCAUGAGAUCCCUUUAGCCACCCUUCUCUAGAGUUGGUCCAACCUUUUUAGAGAUCCAUCAAACACCUCCAUCUCACCACAUAUACUCCCCAAAACCGUGAGCACCACCAUCAUAUCCAUAGCUUCCACACCAAUUCCACCUCACAACUUCAUCUUCGUGCUUUGCCCUAACCUAUCUUAAGGAGGUUGUUGUGAUAACUUAUAUGUAAUACACGUGAAAUAAAUGAAUAGAAAUUAAUCACAUUCCAUAGUUUUAAGAAUUAGUACUUACUAUCAGAGAUGGUAUCGAAGAGAGAAAGAUGGAGCAAAGAAAACACUCAUGGCAGCAACAAGGAAAAAAAAAAACAUGGAAGCAAAAGAAGAUCAAAACAGGUAAGGGAAAACUGGAAGACUCAUGUAAUAUAUAUUGUUGUUUGUAUGUGUUACAAGAGAGAAAAGGGAACCUUAGUUUAUAUAGGGUUCCUGCAAAACAGAGAGAAAAAGGAAAAAUAGGAAAACCCCUAAAUCCUAACUAACUACAAACCCUAACUGACUAAUUAUUUCUCCUAAGUAGUAAUAUUAACUAACAUAACCAUUUUAGUAGCCUUCCCUCAAGCUGGAUGAUGUAUAUUGACUA